AACCUUACCUGGGCUAGAACGCAUUCGGAAUCAGGCCGAAAGGCCUGCGCCAGCGAUGGCCGCUUGCGAGGUGCUGCAUGGUUGUCGUCAGCUCGUGCCGUGAGGUGUCGGGUUAACGUCCCAUAACGAGCGCAACCCCUACUGCUAGUUGCCAGCGGGUCAUGCCGGGGACUCUAGCGGAACUGCCAGCGUAAGCUGCGAGGAAGGUGGGGAUGACGUCAAAUCAGCACGGCCCUUACGUCCAGGGCUACACACGUGUUACAAUGGCCGGUACAGAGGGCAGCCACCCCGCGAGGGGGCGCGAAUCCCGAAAGCCGGUCCCAGUUCGGAUCGGAGUCUGCAACCCGACUCCGUGAAGCUGGAUUCGCUAGUAAUCGCGCAUCAGCCACGGCGCGGUGAAUACGUUCCCGGGCCUU
rnacentral:rRNA from 1 species